UGCGACAAAAUGUGAAUCUUAGCGAAUAGAAGUUCAGCUGUGCCAUUGUGGAAGGGACGCGGUUCCAUGGCAUGAAGUUGUUAGUUUGGUGCCAGGUAUUAAAUCAGAAAAUUUCUUGCUGUAAGGGACUUGAGAUUUGAAAUUGAUGCAGUGAGGGCACUUCGUGAUGUCAACUAGAAACACAGUACUUUUAUGUGGAUUGUAGCAAGAGAGUUGGUGAUGGAAUAACAUUGACUUCAGAUUGGUCAUGGACUGUGCACAGUGUCUUAGAAACGGGAGAGAUUCAGCAGUAACGAGUAAUGCAAAGUAAGUGAUAUUUUUAGGAAAUAAGUUGUUUGAGAAUUCUUAUUAAUUUUGGGUUAUCUCUUCCAAGUCUGUUAUUUCCUGCGGUGCAGUCUGGAAGCAUUUGUGCUCCCACUGUUCUUGACAGGUAGGCCUGCUCUGGAUGACUGAACAUGUCUCUGUUGACCUGCUGCAUCAUAGUGGAUGGACAUUCUUCCAGUGUUUGUGUAAUAAUUCUCAUGAAAUUUUGUACUGACAUUCUGCCAUAAGUGAUUGCUGUAAAAACAUUUUCUAAAUUCCUGCACACAUUAGUACUGUAAUGGGGUAUAUUUUGUGGAGAUGGUUGGUCCUACUAGUGUUGGUAAUGUGGCUUGGAAUGGAGAAGGCAAAUCAAUGAGGAUGUUGUCGUCAGCUUAAACUUAUUCAGCGGUAAUGGAAUUCCUUCAAGAAAGCUACAGAUUGUUCCCUAAGACUACACCAUUUAUUUCUGUGUCUAGGUACUUCACGUAUCAGUUCCAUCAGUAAUGAACACUUGAUUCAUAAUUUAGGUUAGUUCACUUUCUACUCGACAAAGGUUGGGUUACGCAAAUUUUGAAAGAUUUACUGAAGUGCCCUUAUUUGACUUGGAGCCAUUGCCUCAGUGCUUACCUGCAAUCAAUAGCCUGAUCAGUGUCCCAUUGCCCGUGGCUUUAAUGAUCUCUUAACUUCUUGACAGUUUCAGCGUUUCUGACCGUGGUGUUUCCCAGUUCUCUCCUGAACUUUUUUCGUUGACCUUUCCAAUUUUUAUGCUGAUUGCUUAAUGGUCAUGUCCGCAUUUCUGCUAAUUGUUUUUUGUAUUCCCCUUAGUGAAAUGUGAGCUAGUCUCUGCUGUUUUCCUCAAUGCCGGGAAAUGACAUUUGCACAUUCAUACAAUUUAUCACAAUUCUAAUAACUGCUAUACUUAAUUCUAUGCUACUUAAAAUCUUUAUAUUCUUAAUUUUUCAUCAUAACUAAAAUUAAUUCUCCAUAGUACCAAUGAAAUGCUUGCUGAAAAUCAUGAGGUGUGAUGGUGUGGUGGUCAUUGUUGUAGCACACAUUACUAUGUAAACAAACCCUGACCAGUGGAAACUUGUCAAAACAUGUGAAAUCCUGUGCUCUCAUGACCAAGCAUGUCUAUAUCUUGAAAUGUGAGCAAACCCUAGUAAACCUGUCAAAACUGAAACAUGGUGCCAUAGCAGUUUCAUGUAAUCUUACCCUAAAUGAUGAUACUCCACCCAACCACAGCUAAAACAUCAGAAAUGAAACAUUUUUAAAACUAAAGAGAUUCAGAGCUCAUGAGGAUUUUCAGGUUUUAAAUAUUUUAAAAAUUAUGAAUGUUAGUGAAAUUGUUGAUUCAGAAAUUUUCAGUUUUUUCAGAAUAUCAAAUUUUUCGAAAAUCAUGAUCACUUUUCAAAUUUUAAAAACAUUUUCAGCAUUUAAUUCUUUUUAGAUAUUUGAAAUUUUGAGAUAUUUAAGGAAAUGAAAUUUAAGUAUAUUCUGAAUGUUCAGGGAUUGUGAGUAGAGUGGCGCUAUGUAUAUCCUGUUUCAUAUUUUAUAUAUCUGUGACUAGAAUGUUUGCAACCACAUGACGUGCUAAUUUCAGUAAAGCGUCUGUGAUCCUAGGAAUGCAGAUUAUGAUUCAUGUGAUAGAUUUUGUGUUCGUUAAGUUUGCGACCGUGUCUUAGUGAAGAUGCUUCAGGUCAUGUGACGUAGAAUUUAGUUUGUAUGUAGUAUGGCGCAGUGUGUUGUCGCUUCCUUGUGUUUGCUGGCUGCAAGUGUUUCAUUUUAAUAGAAUAUACUUCAUUCAUGCAGUGUGGACCGGAAUAAUCAGUGAACAUUGAAACCAUCGACAAACACGGUUGGUUGUGCUCAGAGCUGUAGUGUUUAAUACGUGUGUUUCUUCAUAUUAAUACAUAAUACGUGGUGAUGGUGGAAUGGCUGAUUUAUGAAAGCAACUUGCAUUUUCAUAGAACCAGUCUUUUUCGCUGUCAAUGUAAGCCCUUUCAAGUAAUUCAUUAUUCUGUGCAGUGACCUGAUUUAUGAAUAACAGCUGUUAUAAAUUCUUUUCUAAUUGUGAAAACACGUCACCUGAGUAUGGUUAACGUCAAGUUACAGCCACAUAAUACCCAAGCAAGUCGUUUUAAUACGUGCAUUAACAGUAGAAUAAAUUAAUUUCACAUGACGCUCCGUAGUGUGACGCCAAAUUUUACGCUUGUGUCACGAAGCCAAAAGCAUGACGUUUUCCUACGCGAUAACGUAAUAUAACUUAA